UAGUCAUAUGCUUGUUUCAAAGAUUAAGCCAUGCACGUCUAAGUUUAAACUGAUUAACGGUAAAACUGCGAAUGGCUCAUUAAAUCGGUUAUAGUUUAUUUGAUUGUGAACGGUUACACGGAUAACUGUAGUAAUUCUAGAGCUAAUACGUGCCAAAAUAGCUGGCUUCGGUCAGCUGGCAGUUAUUGUUUGAACCUGAUGCACGUGUAACAGCGUGCUUAGGUGAAGCUCUUUAACAGGUGGAUCGCAUGACCUUGCGUCGGCGACGAUUCUUUCAA
rnacentral:rRNA from 1 species